GUGCUUGCUUUGGCAGCACAUUUCCUAAAAAUUGGGAUGAUACAGAGAAGAUUAGCGUAUCCCCUGUGAGGAUGGCACACAAAUUCCUGAAGCAUUCCAUAUUUUA
ensembl:snRNA U6 U6 spliceosomal RNA